rnacentral:rRNA from 1 species
GAUGAACGCUGGCGGCGUGCCUAAUACAUGCAAGUCGAGCGAACAGACGAGGAGCUUGCUCCUCUGACGUUAGCGGCGGACGGGUGAGUAACACGUGGAUAACCUACCUAUAAGACUGGGAUAACUUCGGGAAACCGGAGCUAAUACCGGAUAAUAUAUUGAACCGCAUGGUUCAAUAGUGAAAGACGGUUUUGCUGUCACUUAUAGAUUGAUCCGCGCCGCAUUAGCUAGUUGGUAAGGUAACGGCUUACCAAGGCAACGAUGCGUAGCCGACCUGAGAGGGUGAUCGGCCACACUGGAACUGAGACACGGUCCAGACUCCUACGGGAGGCAGCAGUAGGGAAUCUUCCGCAAUGGGCGAAAGCAUGACGGAGCAACGCCGCGUGAGUGAUGAAGGUCUUCGGAUCGUAAAACUCUGUUAUUAGGGAAGAACAAAUGUGUAAGUAACUAUGCACGUCUUGACGGUACCUAAUCAGAAAGCCACGGCUAACUACGUG